AUGAAGUGCCCCUUCUCUCCGCACCGAAUGCCGAGAUCUCACAACGACAUCAGUGCGCUUCAACGAUUGCCCGUGUUCAGGAGGCUUUGUAAUGGGGAAUCACCGCCGUGCAACUACACUAUCAAGGAUGAGAGUGACGGUGUAGUCCAAACCAAUAAUUUUGAAGCAUCUGGAGAACAAACUCAAAACCUGGAAAAUCAAGAUCCACUAAAAGCACAAGAUUGUUUGUGUGUGCGCAAAUUCAUCAAUUCGCAUGGUCUGACGACGACGGCUUUGGUUGUGUCUGUGCAGGACGCGGCGACGCAGCUGGAUCAGCUGGACAGCGCGACGGCCUACAUCAAGCAGCUCAAGGCCCGCAUCGACCACCUCAAGCGCCGCAAGCAGGCCGUCUUCUCUGGCGGCACCGCUGGCUGCUCAUCUUCAGUCUCCGCCGGCGACUACAAGGCACAGACGGCCGCCCUGCCGGUGAUCGAGGUUCGGCACCAGGACGGAACGCUGGACGUGGCGCUGGCGAGCGAGGCCGGGCGGCCGUUCCGGCUGCACCAGGUGAUCGCCGUGCUGGAGCAGGAGGGCGCCGAGGUGGUCAGCGCCAGCUUCUCCGUCGUCGGCGAUAAGAUCUUCUACACGCUCCACGCCCAGGCGCUCUGCCCCCGCAUCGGCCUCGAGGCCGGCCGCGCCGCCCACCGGCUCCGCAGCCUCGCCGCAGCAGCCGCCGUCUCGUCGUCGGUCCUCCUCACAUGA
rnacentral:rRNA from 1 species